rnacentral:tmRNA from 1 species
GGGGGUGAUCGGUUUCGACAGCAGUUGUUGGUGUAAGGGAAGCGGGUCGAGAAUGAGAAGUCCUCUCGUUAAUCGUCUUCUCGAAAAAAUAAGUGCUAAACCUAAUCGCACUGACUUCGCCCUCGCUGCCUAAGUUGCGCGAGCGCCUUUAAAAGUCCGUCAGCCCUAAGCUGCUAUCUCUUAGGUUCCUGGCGUCGUUUUCGAUAGCCACUGGCGCGUGACAUGUCAAGGGUCACGUUGCGAGAUUUACUUGACUGGGCCUGUCAACCUCAAGGUUCACGUAAUAGGGUUGGGGCCAAGCAGAACGCAUACCGUGAACUGCACCCGGAGAAGACUUGCGGGGCAGCUGUUGGACGGGGGUUCAAUUCCCCCCACCUCCACUC